rnacentral:rRNA from 1 species
CCUAUCAUUAAGUAAUUGUCUUGCACCAAAGUUACAUAGAAUAGUGCGCCAGAGAGGGUGAUAGCCCCGUAUAAGGUGCAGGUAAAACGAUUACAAACAUGAUAGGUUCAUAGAGUCGGACUGUUUGGGAAUGCAGUCUAAAUCGGGUGGUAAACUCCAUCUAAGACUAAAUAUAACUCCGAGACCGAUAGCGAACAAGUACCGUGAGGGAAAGUUGAAAAGCACUCUGAAAAGAAAGUGAAAAGUACGUGAAACCGUUAAUGGGGAAGCGGACGGUAGAAUCAAAGUAAUUAUGAAUCACGCACGAUGGCCAUUCCACCGUGCCGGAAUUAAUGAUUACGAGCCGGUUUCAUCGUUUGAACAUUAACCAGACGGGUAGCUUGCUCACAUUUGACAUCUUGAUGAUGCCAACGUGGACAAGUGCACGCUGAUGGUUAACAAAAUGAUUAAAUGAUGUAGAUGUGCGAGUUUGACUAGUAUAUGCUAGAGGUAUGAUGAUUGUGGUGAUAAUAAAAUUAGCAUUGAAUUGUUAUAUGCGGGCAUGUACUAGUCAGAUCAAGUCGAAAGACGUACACAUAAUCCGGCGAGAUAUGCUAUUGUCCGACCCGUCUUGUAACACGGACCAAGGAGGCUAACGUAUACGCAAGUCAAGGAGUGGCAAACUCUUAGGCAAAAUGAAAGUAAAAUGUGAGAUCUGCUGAUCAAGGUCAGUGGCGUAUCACACACCUGUUGGAAAAUUGACUACAAUAGAGUGAAAGCGUAUGCGAUAGGACCCGAAAGAUGGUGAACUAUGCCUGAGUAGAGCGAAUUCAUUGGAAACAAUGAUGGAGGCUCGUAGCGGUUCUGACGUGCAAAUCGAUCGUCAAACUUGGGUAUAGGGGCGAAAGACUAAUCGAACCAUCUAGUAGCUGGUUCCCUCCGAAAUAUCCCUCAGGAUCGCCGAAGCUCGAAAAACAGUUUCAUCGGGUAGAGCUAAUGUUUAGAGGUAUUGGGGAUAUGAUUAUCCUCAACCUAUUCACAAACUGCAAACCGGUGAUAAGUCGUAAUAGCAUGGCAAAGUUUCUUAAUUGAACCGGCGGCAAUGUAAAAUUGAAUGUUAGAGCUUCGAGUGGGCCGUUUUUGGUAAGCAGAACUGGCGACGCGGGAUGAACCGAGUGCUGGGUUAAGGUGCCCAAGUGUAGGCAAAUGGACACCAUAAAAGGAGUUAGUAGAUGAUAACAGUAGGACCGUGGCCCUGAAAGUAGGCAUCGGCUAAGAAGUGUGCAACAACAUACCUACCGAAUCUACCGGCCCUGAAAAUGGAUGGCGCUUUAGCCUACCACCGAUACCCAGCCGUAGUAGCGAGAAAUGUAUCUACUAUGGGUAGGAGGGUGCUACGGUAGCGGCGAAGGGCAUAAGUGAUUAUGUCUGGAGCUGCCGUAGGUACAGAUCUUGGUUUUAGUAGCAGCGUAUAGAAGUGAGAACCUUCUAGGCCGAAGUGGAGAAGGGUUCCUCGUGAACAGCAGUUGGACGAGGGUUAGUCGGUCCUAAGCAGCAGCUCACACGCUGAGCAAAAGAAAAUGUUUUGUGUAAUAGUGUGUCCUCACACAACACAUCAUUUUAGUCUGCGAAAGGGAAUCAGGUUAAUAUUCCUGAACCAGGCUUCGGAUAGCUUGUAAUGAAAGUUAAUGAUAGAGCAGCCCGGCUGCAAAGUUGUUGAUGGAAAUUAUAAGUAGAGCGGUAACGCAAACAAACUCUGAGACGUUAUUGAUAGUCCUAGGAAGAGAUGUCUUUUCUGUUUAACUAGAUGGAAAUGACCCUGGAAUAGAGUCAUUCAGAGAUAGGGUUGACGUCUAGGAAGAGCAUAGCAUCUGGCUAUGUCUGGUGCACUAUCAAUGACCCAUGAAAAUCAGAGGGCGUGAAUGAUUGUCGAGCCUGACCGUACCGAGAACCGCAUCAGGUCUCCAAGGUGAAUAGCCUCUGGCUUUAGAAUAAUGUGGGUAAGGGAAGUCGGCAAAAUAGAUUCGUAACUUCGGGAUAAGGAUUGGCUCUAAGGAUUGAGCUAUUUGGACCAGCAAUAUCGGAGAUUGUGCUUCUUUACGGACGGGCUGUCAAUUGAUGUAGGGAAACCUACUAUUGAUUGUGCACGCCUGUUAGUGAAUGUAGUAACUUCCUGUUGAUGGUUUGUGUAAAUGGUAAGGUGUACUCGUUAUGUUUUACCAGAUAUACCUAGCGAAUAGCUAAAAUCAAUCAACUUAGAACUGUCACUAACAUGGGGAAUCCGACUGUUUAAUUAAAACAAAGCAUUGCGAUGGCUGGAAACGGUGUUGACGCAAUGUGAAUUCUGCCCAGUGCUCUGAAUGUCAAAGUGUGGAGACACAACCAAGCGCGGGUAAACGGCGGGAGUAACUAUGACUCUCUUAAGAUAGCCAAAUGCCUCGUCAUCUAAUUAGUGACGCGCAUGAAUGGAUCAACGAGAUUCCCACUGUCCCUACCUACCAUCUAGCGAACAAACAGUCAA